AAUGACUCUCGACAACGGAUAUCUCGGCUCUCACAUCGAUGAAGAACGUAGCGAAAUGCGAUACUUGGUGUGAAUUGCAGAAUCCCGUGAACCAUCGAGUCUUUGAACGCAAGUUGCGCUCGAAGCCAUUAGGCCUAGGGCACGUCUGCCUGGGUGUCACAC
rnacentral:rRNA from 1 species